CCUACGGGUGGCAGCAGUGAGGAAUAUUGGUCAAUGGGAGAGAUCCUGAACCAGCCAAGCCGCGUGAGGGAGGACGGUCCUAUGGGUUGUAAACCUCUUUUGUCGGAGAACAAAACCCGGGACGCUUCCCCGGCUGCGUGUAUCCGAAGAAAAAGCAUCGGCUAACUCCGUGCCAGCAGCCGCGGUAAUACGGAGGAUGCGAGCGUUAUCCGGAUUUAUUGGGUUUAAAGGGUGCGUAGGCGGGCCUUUAAGUCGGCGGUAAAAUUGCGGGGCUCAACCCCGUCGAGCCGUUGAAACUGGGAGACUUGAGUGGGCGAGAGGUACGCGGAAUGCGCGGUGUAGCGGUGAAAUGCAUAGAUAUCGCGCAGAACUCCGAUUGCGAAGGCAGCGUGCCGGCGCCAGACUGACGCUGAGGCACGAAAGCGUGGGGAUCGAACAGGAUUAGAUACCCCGGUAGUC
rnacentral:rRNA from 1 species